rnacentral:rRNA from 1 species
CCUUACGGGAGGCAGCAGCAAGGAAUUUUCCGCAAUGGACACAUGUCUGACGGAGCAACGCCGCGUGCAGGACGACGGCCUUCGGGUUGUAAACUGCUUUUGGGUGGGACGAUGAUGACGGUACCACCCGAAUAAGCCCCGGCUAACUCCGUGCCAGCAGCCGCGGUAAGACGGAGGGGGCAAGCGUUGUCCGGACUCACUGGGCGUAAAGCGUGCGUAGGUGGUGCGAUGCGUCGGCGCUGAAAGCCGGGUCUUAACCGGGCGACGGGCGACGAUACGAUCGCACUGGAGGCAGGGAGACGUUGGUGGAAUUCCGGGUGUAGUGGUGAAAUGCGUAGAGAUCCGGAGGAAUGCCGGUGGCGUAAGCGGCCAACGAGUCCUGACCUGACACUGAGGCACGAAAGCGUGGGGAGCAAACCGGAUUAGAUACCCGGGUAGUCCACGCCGUAAACGAUGUCGGCUAGGUGUGUGAUCGGGGUGACCGAUGGCGUGGCGAAGCUUACGCGGUAAGCCGACCGCCUGGGGACUACGAGCGGAACUUAAAACUCAAAGGAAUUGACGGGGGCCCGACAAGCAGCGCAGGUAGUGGUUUAAUUCGACGAACGGGAGAG